GAAUGACAUGCACGUGCACACUGAGUGCUAGGUUAAUGCGAACUCGUGUUAAAUUUUCUAAGCCAUUUAAAAAACCGAAAUAUGCAAUUUUGAGUUAUUAUUCCGCAUGUGUUGUGCAAUGCGAUCUCUUUUUUCAUAUAUGUCUGACAGGGCAAGAUUCUAGAUGGUAAAGCACUCAGAUCUCUAUCUUUUGAGGUCAGGGUGUCCUUUGGCAGGACUGUAUUUCUUUUGCAGGUCUGCAGUUCUUCCAUGUAAAGCUUUAGUGCAAGACUUCAUAGCCUGUGUUACAGCCAUCUACAAAAGAAAAAAAAAAUGGCGUCAAUGUCACAAAAUCUGAUGCAAUGUUUAGAGAAAACAAUGGAAAUUGCUCUCAGCACAAACUCUGCACGUGAUCUUUGCGUGAGACAGUUAACAACAACCUUUGAUAGAAGACAGAAAGAAGACUCUUGCGGAAUAAUUUUGUAGCCACAAAAGGCUGAUCACCUCUAGUAAUCUGGCUUGAAACCUCAAAAUUCUAAACAUUAAUCUCACUCACAAAGUGUAACAUUUCCAUUGAGGUCUCUGUUACCAACUCUUUGAGUAUUUGUCAACUCAACCAAUAAAAUAAAAGCGCUGAUUUCAACAGUUAACAAACAUUUAACUUCAUUAAACUGGAAACAAUAGAUCAACCAAUCAGGUCAUUUUCCACACAUUUUAGGCCUCUCAUGAUUAGUAUAUGUAAUCGCAUGGGCCCUCGGGCAAUUAAGGGUUAAUUUCACGAGUAUUUUCAAAGUUUUCACAAAAAUGCCCGAGUUGGGAAGUGAAGGGGGCAAUGUGGAAAACUUUGAAAAUACAAGUGAAAUUAAUCCUUAAUUGCCCGAGUGUAUUUCCAAUUACAUGCUUAUCACAUAAAGGGUAAAACUCUAUAAUGGAAUACUUUCAAGGUCUUGCUGUUGCAUAAACAGGUUUGCUGGUUGUCAUUAAAGAACAGGCUAGCAGUAGAACCAAGAAAGCCUGCUAUAAUAGUAAGCCAAACACAGUAAGUUCAAUUCACUCAAAGCAAUUUCUAUACAAAUAAAACUUUAAGCAAUCUAAUUUUAUUCCCUUGUUUCACGAAGCUUGCAACAGCGUGAAACUACUUCCUCGAUCGCUGAAAGACAUAAACCAGUGUGUCCAAACAAGCCCUAAUAACUUCUUGAAUCCAAAACUCUCCUUUCCACCGCGAAAACUUAAUGUACUAACAAAAUUUACGCUCUUUUUUGUGCCAAAAAGGUGACCUGUGAUACUAAUAAGCCGACCCGAAGCAAGACGAAGAAAUUAACUUUCAAUUUGGCAGCCAUGAAGUUCUGUAAUUCUAUGCUUCGUGUGACACUAGAUGUCCCCACUCAAACUUUUUUCAGGCUGCGAAUCAAUACUUUUUUGGAUGGGAAAAUCCUUUUCCUUUUUUGCUCUUUGCUGCAUGUAGAUUUUCUUUCACAUUAAAGCCUCUCUGUCAACCGGAAUGCUUCACAGGCAUUUGUAUUUGUUUUUACUCUGUAACUGAAGAAAAGGUUAGAAAAAUCAGAAGGAUUUGGGGCAUUUGGUGGCCUGAAAUAUAAUUAACUGGUAGAAACUGAUAUGAGAUGUUUGCUUUAGUCACAAUUUGGCUGAGAACUACUGUAUUUUGAAAUUCUGACUUCGCGUUGCAAGGUGACAGCUGUCAGCUACGGUUCCUGCCACCCGUAAGCAUCAUGCAGAGACUUGAAACAAUUUCAUGCAAUGAAUUUGCUUUUUAUUUGCUUUCAGAGACUUAAGAAGCAUAUAUACAGAAUUAACAGUACUUCCUAUGCUUAGCAUAUUGUCUCAUUCAUGAUGCAGAAUAAGAGGAACAAUAAUUAUUUGUUUCGUUGAUGAAUUCAUACCACGCUUCAGAAUCCUUACAGAGUUA